rnacentral:rRNA from 1 species
UGAGGAAUAUUGGACAAUGGGCGCAAGCCUGAUCCAGCCAUGCCGCGUGCAGGAUGACGGUCCUAUGGAUUGUAAACUGCUUUUGUACAGGAAGAAACAGUUCUACGUGUAGAACCCUGACGGUACUGUAAGAAUAAGGAUCGGCUAACUCCGUGCCAGCAGCCGCGGUAAUACGGAGGAUCCAAGCGUUAUCCGGAAUCAUUGGGUUUAAAGGGUCCGUAGGCGGUUAGAUAAGUCAGUGGUGAAAGCCCAUCGCUCAACGGUGGAACGGCCAUUGAUACUGUCUGACUUGAAUUAUUAGGAAGUAACUAGAAUAUGUAGUGUAGCGGUGAAAUGCUUAGAGAUUACAUGGAAUACCAAUUGCGAAGGCAGGUUACUACUAAUGGAUUGACGCUGAUGGACGAAAGCGUGGGUAGCGAACAGGAUUAGAUACCCAAGUAGUCCCUGAGCGGGCUGGCAAGGCGCAU